GGUGAACGCUGGCGGCGUGCUUAAGACAUGCAAGUCGAACGGCAGUCUUCGGACUGUAGUGGCGCACGGGUGAGUAACGCGUAACUGACCUACCCCAAAGUCGCGGAUAACGAUUCGAAAGAAUCGCUAAUACGUGAUGUGCUGUCAGAUUGUGUUCUGCCAGUAAAGAUUGAUUGCUUUGGGAUGGGGUUGCGUUCCAUCAGCUAGUUGGUGGGGUAAAGGCCCACCAAGGCGACGACGGAUAGCCGGCCUGAGAGGGUGGCCGGCCACAGGGGCACUGAGACACGGGUCCCACUCCUACGGGAGGCAGCAGUUAGGAAUCUUUCACAAUGGGCGAAAGCCUGAUGGAGCGACGCCGCGUGAGGGAUGAAGGUCUUCGGAUCGUAAACCUCUGAAUCAGGGACGAAAGACACGUUAUGUGGGAUGACGGUACCUGAGUAAUAGCACCGGCUAACUCCGUGCCAGCCGCCGCUGUAACAC
rnacentral:rRNA from 1 species